AGGCGUGCCCGCCGGCCGGCCGGUAUUCUCGAACCUUCAUGCGCUUUCCUCGCUCCCCCCACAAACACCCACCGCUCCGCAACGGACAGGGGGCGGAGCUUCGCUUGCGCGGGAGCCAAUCAGAGCCCUCCAACGGCCGCAUGCCGGUGACGACACAGACUAUGGUGCCUGAGGCAAAGAGGUUUUCCUUGCUACAUGACCAUAUUCCAGUUAUUUCAGGCUUGGCUGGGCAGAAAAAUGCCAAAAGUAUGGAAUCUCCAUGAAGAGACUUCGCUGUUAGCAGCUUUUAUCACAACGGAUCCUUCUGAUCUCCCCUGAUAACAGCACACAAAAACCUCCUGAACUGUAUUGUUUGAACCUGAUUGUCCUCGGUGCUGCUGCUGAAUGCCACUCUUUUCCUUGUAUGCAUACGCAAAGACACAGACACCUAGACAGGCACACCCUUGAUGGGGUUGAUCAGGCAGGACACUGAUUCCCAUCUCUGGUGUUCAGGACAGAGUUUAUGAAAUCUGGAUUAACACUAAACUAUGUCAAACGUUGCUUUUUAUUCUGCACAUUACUUCAUGUCAAAGUCAGCCUUUCCAGCUGCCUUUAGAUAGUUUACUAUCCCAUGUGUGCCAGAUACAUAAUUUGGAACUAGAAUGAUGGAAUAGCCACACACAGAUUUUGUAUUUGAGGGUAAUCUCAUGUAAUCAUUCCAGCCAAAAGUAAUUCUAAAAACUGGAGACUCUGGAACCUCUGAAUCACAAUUUUUCCCCCUAAUAUUUCAUUAGUUGUUCUCAGCAUCAAAAUUUCUAGCAGAUCACAUCAUCUGAGCCCAAAUGACUUAUUUACCACUCAAGGUUAUACAGAGGACUGCUGCGCCAACCCGAAGUGCAAUAAAUAAGAACUACUUCAUGUGAUUUAAGUAUGAAAGGGCAAAGGUGUGGCACAGAGUUAUCAGUGAAGAUGGGACAGCGCUGGUGUGAAUGCUGGUUAUGUGCCAAUACUUACGCUGCACUGUCACCUGGACAACACAGCUUUCUUGUCCAGCCUCGUUGGUGGCAAUGCAUUGGUAUAACCCUGUGCUCAUCUGCGUAAGAUUCUUCAGCAGGACUUGUCCGGGGUUAGAAAUGUCUGAAACAGGAAAAACAACACUGCGAUUAAUUCAAAAAAAAAAGGCUAAGAAACCUUAACAGGGCACAGAAGCACAAAUUGAGCUUGUGGAUCAAAUCAGUUCAAUGAUGCCGCACAAAAUAUCAGCAAAUGAAUAAACAAACCUCCCCGUUGAGGGUGGAGCACGGCACAGCGUCCAGCUGCAGUGAGAGGCACUGGCACUGCCACCAAGCGACCCCAUUUAAAAAGCAGGCACAUGGCUGUGCGUGUGUGCGUGCGUGUGGGCGGUCAUCUGGCUGCGAGCAGAGGAAAUGACCUGACUUACUGACUCUCGAUGUAGGCGGGAGAUGUUCCGCUCUCUCGUCUUCCUCGUUUAUGCGCUGCCAUCGGUAGGAGAUGGGUGCAGUGCCGGAGGCGGAACGGCACUGCAAGGACAGCUCCUUGCCUUCCAACAGCUCCCCUUCCAACCAGCAUUUGGGCUUGGAAGGUUUUUCUAGAAGAGACAAAAGACAUGCGCAUGCAGCAGACUAUUUUCUCAGUAGAAAACCCUUUUUUUGGCACAAGAACGUAGUUUAAGCAGCUUCCAAGAGCUGCCUUCUCUGGAAUGCAUUAAAGAAUUACACCAGGGAUGGCUGUUACGGGACUUGAACUGCAACUGCGUGCAAACUCAUACUCUAACAAGUGGAGCUGCCUGGCUCAGACAUAGAAAUGACAUGUUAUAAUACCCUGGGGCAGCUUGCCUUGUGGAUGCUCCCAUCAGUGGAGCUGUAUUACUGUGAUCCUCUUCUAAGUACUAUUUAAAGAACAUCCUUUUCCUCCCCUUACUUCUCCAUUUCUUCCUUCUCCCCACAGCAUCUGGCAGGCCACAGCACUUCUUCCAUGGGAUGACAGCGUACAUGUCAAAAACCAACCAAUAAACUGAAAUCAGGGAAGCAAAAUGCUAACCCCAGCAGUUUAUUUGUCACCUCCAUGGACUUGGAUUUGUUUGGAGUCCUGGGACAUGAACCCGGAGUCCUCAGCAGGAGAUCUGGACAGGGAGCUUGCCAGCUAAGCUAGAAUAUCAGUCUAGUUUGUGUGAUGAGAUCAUAGAGAUAAUUUGGAAAGAGCAGUCCAUAUGAUUUUGCAAGUGGUUGUACUUACCUCAAACCAGUUCUUUAGGCUCUUCCUGUGUCCUGUUCUUUGCCAAAAAACGCAAAGGCAGAUAGAGAGUCGGACAGUGAAACCUGAUCAUAAGAUGUCUUUGUGUAUUUAUACCCUGCUGAAACAAAUCUGCCUCCAGGAAAUGCGUCUGGAGAUUUUUGUUGUUGUUGUUUGGAAAAACAAUAAAAUGACCUUACCUACAACCUU